GUUUGCAUUUUAGAAAGAUCACCGCUGAAGACAGUGAAAGCAAUAGACUGAUGCAGUGACCCAGUUCUGCAAAAAGAUAUAUGCCAAAAGGAGCUUAGGAGCUGGGAGAAACACCACAUCAGAAUGAAAUAAAACAGCAGCAUGUUCAGGAAUGAUGGAUCCAGGCACACAUUAAGACAUGACAUAGGAAAAGUUGGCCUGAAAUCCACUGGAGGAGCAAACUCACUUCUACAACAUCCCUGAUCCAGGCAGCAUGAUAUAUAAGCCACAGUGGAAGAUGGUAAUAUAUAGUGAUGGCAACAUUUGAAAUGAUGAUGAGUAAGGCCUGCAUGAGUGGAAAUCAACUA
rnacentral:lncRNA from 1 species